rnacentral:rRNA from 1 species
AGGGAAUAUUGGACAAUGGGCGAAAGCCUGAUCCAGCAAUGCCGCGUGAGUGAUGAAGGCCUUAGGGUUGUAAAGCUCUUUUACCCGGGAUGAUAAUGACAGUACCGGGAGAAUAAGCCCCGGCUAACUCCGUGCCAGCAGCCGCGGUAAUACGGAGGGGGCUAGCGUUGUUCGGAAUUACUGGGCGUAAAGCGCGCGUAGGCGGCUUUGUAAGUUAGAGGUGAAAGCCCGGGGCUCAACCCCGGAACUGCCUUUGAAACUAGAUCGCUAGAAUCCUGGAGAGGUUAGUGGAAUUCCGAGUGUAGAGGUGAAAUUCGUAGAUAUUCGGAAGAACACCAGUGGCGAAGGCGACUAACUGGACAGGUAUUGACGCUGAGGUGCGAAAGCGUGGGGAGCGAA